UACGAAGGGGGCUAGCGUUGUUCGGAUUUACUGGGCGUAAAGCGCACGUAGGCGGACUAUUAAGUCAGGGGUGAAAUCCCGGGGCUCAACCCCGGAACUGCCUUUGAUACUGGUAGUCUUGAGUUCGAGAGAGGUGAGUGGAAUUCCGAGUGUAGAGGUGAAAUUCGUAGAUAUUCGGAGGAACACCAGUGGCGAAGGGCGGCUCACUGGCUCGAUACUGACGCUGAGGUGCGAAAGCGUGGGGAGCAAACAGG
rnacentral:rRNA from 1 species